CAAUAGUCUUCAAAAUUUCCUUUCCCCACACAUCGAUACAACGAAGCAUAAAGAACAGCUGCUUUCUUCUGUAAUGAAGAAGGGACUACUUCUUCCCCAUCUAAAAUUUUAAUGCAAAUAUUCCUUAUUGAGGAAACAAAUGGACGAAAGGUAGGUGAAUGCGAGAUGAUCCCUUGAUACAAACAAGAACAAACAGUACAAAGACACUUCCCAGAUUCGGCGAUUCGUAAGCAAUUAUUCACAAAUGUGGGUAAAUUAGGAGUCACCAAUUCUCUUGUAACUGCUGGUCUUCCUACAGUAGAGCUAAACAUUUUUGAUACGGUUAUCAUGGCAAUCUCCAAUGUUUUAGGAGUUUCUGGUCGGUUUAACAAAGCAAUUAAAAGUUUUGCCCAAGUAGCUCCAUGCUCUACUAAGCAAUCCCAACUUUGAGAAAUAGUGCAGUGAAUGAGAAUAAUAGCUGACCAGCGAAUACGAAAGUCUUUUGAUUGUAACAUUUUUGUUAAACUCGUGCACCAAUUCUUGCGAACGGAAAGAGCAUUUUCACUCGUUCCUAAUCUUUCGAUACAUUUUUGAUGUACCAGUAUGUCCGCUAUUUGAGGCACCUGAAAUGGUAAGUCUUCUUCAUUCGCAAAAGUUAUUGCCAACCAAGAUUUCACAAGAGGAAGAGAGCCACGUUCUAAUAAAUCACUCAUCUAAGAUUUCUUUAUUCAACGGAGUAACAAAAAAACAAUAUUUCCGUUUUCUUAAAGAAAUUACUUGCUAAAUCUCGAGCUUGUGGUGUAGGUUCUGAACUACUCGUGCGUUAAGGAAAGUCUUGCUAGGGAGAAAAGGUUAAAAAUUUUUGAGAAGUAAAAUCCUUUUAAACUUGAGAAUGUUUAACUCAAUAUUAGUAUUUUAUAAUGACCAAGGAAUGUAAAUUACCUCAAAGCUUAA